rnacentral:lncRNA from 1 species
AUGAGCCAACAAUGUGAUGCAGCAGCUAAAAAAGCCAACGGGAUUCUGGCCUGCAUCAAUAGGGGUAUAGUGUCUAGAUCCAGGGAAGUCAUGCUCCCCCUCUAUUCUGCCCUGGUCAGACCACACAUGGAAUACUGCGUCCAAUUCUGGGCACCACAGUUGAAGGGAGAUGUUGACAAGCUGGAAAGCGUCCAGAGGAGGGCGACUAAAAUGAUUAAGGGUCUGGAGAACAAGCCCUAUGAAGAGCAGCUUAAAGAGCUUGGCAUGUUUAGCCUGCAGAAGAGAAGGCUGAGAGGAGACAUGAUAGCCAUGUACAAAUACGUGAAGGGAAGUCAUAGGGAGGAGGGAGCAAGCUUGUCUCCUCUCAACCUUCUCUUCUGCAGGCUAAACAUGCCCAGCACUUUAAGCUGCUCCUCAUAGGGCUUGUUCUCCAGACCCUUAAUCAUUUUAGUCGCCCUCCUCUGGAUGCUUUCCAGCUUGUCAACAUCUCCCUUCAACUGUGGUGCCCAAAAUUGGACACAGUAUUCCAGGUUUUCGGGAUGAAGUGUGUUGUUUUAACCUGUUUGCUCUCGGAUUUUAGUUUAGUGUAGAAGGGCCCUUGGAUGUCUUAGUAGUUUUACUGGAACAAAUCCUUUUUCUGCCAUCCUCUGAUUUUUGGAUGGCUGUUUAUUAAAUGCAAGUUUCCCAUUUUCUUGGUCAAUCAAGUGCUAUUUGUUUUGAAAAGUUCUGGAUUCUAAAGUCUUUUAACCAGAUAGUAUACAUUUUAUCAAAGAAUCAGCUGCUGAGAUACAUGGUAAAUAUUACAGAGAAACAUGUGAACAUCACCAACCCAAAUUUUCACAGGAAAGAAGAUAAAGUGUAUCUUGAAGCACAUGAGAUAUAUCCCUUUCCAUAUCACCCCUCAAAUGAGAUACAAAAUAGUCAUACCAACAAUUAUAGAUCUAAUGUACAAAUGUUUUUUUUACUAUUGUUUUACUAUUUAAGGGAUGUCCAGGCUUAUGGAAAGGGGGUGUACCCACCCUUCCACCAUGGGAAGGACCUCACCCACUAAAAGAUCUGAGAAGGGUAUUCUGAUAUUUUAGAAGCAACUGCAUAAUGAGGCCUGAAUGAAGUAAGAAAAUCUCUGUGAUGAAUUUUCUAUUGUCAAUGGAGUACAAGAGCCUGAUUGCAAUGUAUUAUCCAAUUACUUCUGACAAAAACCUAAGAGAAAUACCACUUUGG